UUAUUCACUGGGAUGCCUGCAAAAAAGCAAAGGCGUUUAAGUUCCAACAUCAUGAUACACCAAAGCUCAACCAUUACGUUCUUAUGUAUAUAGAGAAAAGCAAAGAGAGAGAGAGGGCCAGAGGAGGAAAAAAGAUAAAAUUCGUAUGUAUUUACUAAAAUCCUAAAAUUCAUUGCUAGAACAAAUAGGUUGGGGAGAUCAUAUUUAGCCAACACGAAGCUCUUAGGUUCACUAUGAAGAUGGAAUGUUUACUGGAAGAAAAUUGCAACAACAUUGUUUUUGCAUGCUGCCAUUAUCAUAAAAA
rnacentral:misc_RNA from 1 species